AUGGUUGGAUGUAUGUUGCGCAGCAAGUUCCAUGCGGGCUUACCUAUUCAAUUGUGAUACAAGCCUUGUUUGGAUUGCAUCGUUCGGUGGGUUUCUUGUGUUGCUUACCUAAUCGAUGGCAUUGUUUGUCCCUAUAAGUUAGAUUUUGUAACACGUUGCUUGCGGCGUGAUACAAACGAUGAAGCAACCUUUGUUGUUCAACCUGUUGCUGCUCAUGCAUCAAUGGCUUGGCCCAUGAAGUGUUGAUUGGUCCUUUGGAUAUGGAACAUGAUGUGGGCACAAGUUCGUCAAAGAUCUUGAAUUUGCCCUUAUCGAGUGAUUUAGCUUCUUUAAAUGACCGUAGUCCAUGUAUCGACAAGUCGGUGUAUGGAGGAUUGUGUCAA
rnacentral:misc_RNA from 1 species